GACAGUCCUGAUCACUGUGAAGCAACAGAUUGAAUCAACAAACUGCUGACUCACUACCUGGGGUCCCGCCCAGAAGUGAAACCGACCAAUGGAACACUGCCAACUCACUGGCUAGCUCACUCAGAAGUGAACUCGCCAAUAACAAAUAGCUAGGGAAGAGCAAGCGAUAAAACUCCUCCCCACCUGUGUAUAAAUGUUGUGAUUAUUUUGAAGAUCGGCGCUCUUGUUUUUGACUUG